CUACGUGCCAGCAGCCGCGGUAAUACGUAGGUCCCGAGCAUUGUCCGGAUUUAUUGGGCGUAAAGCGAGCGCAGGCGGUUAGAUAAGUCUGAAGUUAAAGGCUGUGGCUUAACCAUAGUACGCUUUGGAAACUGUUUAACUUGAGUGCAAGAGGGGAGAGUGGAAUUCCAUGUGUAGCGGUGAAAUGCGUAGAUAUAUGGAGGAACACCGGUGGCGAAAGCGGCUCUCUGGCUUGUAACUGACGCUGAGGCUCGAAAGCGUGGGGAGCAAACAGGAUUAGAUACCCUGGUAGUCCACGCCGUAAACGAUGAGUGCUAGGUGUUAGACCCUUUCCGGGGUUUAGUGCCGUAGCUAACGCAUUAAGCACUCCGCCUGGGGAGUACGACCGCAAGGUUGAAACUCAAAGGAAUUGACGGGGGCCCGCACAAGCGGAGGAACAUGUGGUUUAAUUCGAAGCAACGCGAAGAACCUUACCAGGUCUUGACAUCCCUCUGACCGCUCUAGAGAUAGAGUUUUCCUUCGGGACA
rnacentral:rRNA from 1 species